GUUUAAAUAGCUUAUUGAUUAAAGUUUAGUAUUGAAGAUACUGAGAAGGUAAUGAUUUAUCUUUAAAUA
rnacentral:tRNA from 1 species